rnacentral:rRNA from 1 species
GACGAACGCUGGCGGCGUGCCUAAUACAUGCAAGUCGAGCGGACCGAAGGGAGCUUGCUCCUUUAGGUUAGCGGCGGACGGGUGAGUAACACGUGGGCAACCUGCCCUGCAGACUGGGAUAACUUCGGGAAACCGGAGCUAAUACCGGAUAACACCGAAAACCGCAUGGUUUUCGGUUGAAAGGCGGCUUUUAGCUGUCACUGCAGGCUGGGCCCGCGGCGCAUUAGCUAGUUGGUGAGGUAACGGCUCACCAAGGCGACGAUGCGUAGCCGACCUGAGAGGGUGACCGGCCACACUGGGACUGAGGCACGGCCCAGACUCCUACGGGAGGCAGCAGUAGGGAAUCUUCCGCAAUGGACGAAAGUCUGACGGAGCAACGCCGCGUGAGCGAAGAAGGUCUUCGGAUCGUAAAGCUCUGUUGUCAGGGAAGAACAAGUACCGUUCGAAUAGGGCGGUACCUUGACGGUACCUGACGAGGAAGCCACGGCUAACUACGUGCCAGCCGCCGCCGUAA